rnacentral:tRNA from 1 species
GGGGUUGUAGUUAAAACUAACAUUUAAUUUGCAAUUAAAAAAUAUUAAUAUAUAUAUUAAUCUGCCUCA